rnacentral:tRNA from 3 species
GCCACUGUGGCGGAACUGGUAGACGCGCAUCGUUCAGAUCGAUGUGAGAGUAUUCUCGUGCAGGUUCGACUCCUGUCAGUGGCA